CAGUAGUCACGUAGUUUGAUCAGUGGCUCAGAACGAACGCUGGCGGCAUGCCUAACACAUGCAAGUCGAACGAGACCUUCGGGUCUAGUGGCGCACGGGUGCGUAACGCGUGGGAAUCUGCCCUUAGGUUCGGAAUAACUUCGGGAAACUGAAGCUAAUACCGGAUGAUGACGUAAGUCCAAAGAUUUAUCGCCUAAGGAUGAGCCCGCGUUGGAUUAGCUAGUUGGUGAGGUAAAGGCUCACCAAGGCGACGAUCCAUAGCUGGUCUGAGAGGAUGAUCAGCCACACUGGGACUGAGACACGGCCCAGACUCCUACGGGAGGCAGCAGUGGGAAUAUUGGACAAUGGGCGAAAGCCUGAUCCAGCAAUGCCGCGUGAGUGAUGAAGGCCUUAGGGUUGUAAAGCUCUUUUACCCGGGAUGAUAAUGACAGUACCGGGAGAAUAAGCUCCGGCUAACUCCGUG
rnacentral:rRNA from 1 species